GUUACCUACGGGGGGCAGCAGUGAGGAAUAUUGGUCAAUGGGCGGGAGCCUGAACCAGCCAAGUCGCGUGAGGGAAGACGGUCCUAUGGAUUGUAAACCUCUUUAGGCGGGGAGCAAUGCCGGGCACGCGUGCCCGGAGGGAGAGUACCCGCAGAAUAAGCAUCGGCUAACUCCGUGCCAGCAGCCGCGGUAAUACGGAGGAUGCGAGCGUUAUCCGGAUUUAUUGGGUUUAAAGGGUGCGCAGGCGGGCUGUUAAGCCGGCGGUAAAAAUUCAGGGCUCAACCC
rnacentral:rRNA from 1 species